UGGGUAGGAGCUUCUCAUAAAUAAAGGAGCUCAGGGUAAAGUAAAGAGGAAACUAUAGUGGGAAAAGGGAAUUUCUUGGUAGGAUCACCUGUAUUACAGAGGGGAAGCUGCCUACAGCAGGGAAGCUCAGGUGAUGCUGGGAGAAAUCCAGUGGUCCCUAAUCAGAAGGGAGAGCUGUGAGAGAAGUAAGAAAAGACUGGGUGGACAGCAAAUCACACGAGUCAUGAUAUGAGGCGGACGUUCCCCAAAAGAGUGGACUUAGGAAUUUCCAAUAUUUCCUGGAAACACCACAAGAGGUUCAGAUAGGCCUCUAAACUUAACUCAUUGCUCUUGAACUCUGAAUACUUUGAGGUUGACCCAUUUUGCUGUAAUAGUUUAACGGCAAACUUCCACUCAGACAGCAAAAUUGCUCAUGGCGAUCAAAUCCUGAAGAAGGUCCAAGCACUUUCAUGCUUGUAACAGUAUUUCUGGGUGUGGCUUUUUUGCAGAGCAAUUCAUCCUGAGCCUGUAUCCAUAUAUUGACCUGACUGCUAUUUAACUGUGGUCCUUUUAACAUUGUGUGUGGAAUUUUUAAAAUAAGGAUUUAGUGUUCCCUUCUGGGUGAAUGGAAAGGGAGGCAAGAGGAAAGGAUUUCCCUAAUGGUACAACAAAAGCACUUAGUAAGUAAUUGAUCAUCAUCAAGUGCCAGCCUUAUCUGAAACUCGGGCCUUUCUUCCAUGAUUCACCAGUGUUUGUGGUGACCUGCUACUCAUACAGGAAAGGGGGCAGUGUAGUAAAUCCAAACUGGUAUUCUCCAGCCCCUGUUUCCUUUGUAAAGUACACAUUAAUAAAUGUAUUUCUAUUCCAAGAAUUAAAAUGUCAGAAUACUCUUCAUUUCUGAUUUUUGUAUCUCUCUAUUUGCAUAUGAAUCAAUAGCAGACUUUUUUACAAGUAACUGUAAGAAAGUGAAUUUACUUAUUGACUGAGAUUAUCAAGCCAUCAGGCAGACACUACUGCAGAUAGAAUUGCCUUUUGUGUUGAUGCCUGCCAGCCUUUAACAGAGAAAGUGGUGUGCUUUUUGCUAGUGAGAGCUAAUACACAGGAAGGUAAUGGGUUUUUAAAAAUGUUGUAAACCUUAAUGGUGUUAGAUCAAUAAUAUGAGUACUACAGGUAAAAUGCUCUUACAUAUAUUAUUAAGACCUUCUUCAAAAUGUAGCUUCUUGAAGGACUUUUUAGAAUGUAAGAGUGGCAUAUCAUCUCUACAGUAAAAUGCUAAUGGCUCCAAGUUUGAAAAAAUGUGAAUUGUCU